rnacentral:rRNA from 1 species
CCUACGGGAGGCAGCAGUGGGGAAUAUUGGACAAUGGGGGGAACCCUGAUCCAGCCAUGCCGCGUGUGUGAAGAAGGCCUUAUGGUUGUAAAGCACUUUAAGCGAGGAGGAGGCUACUUUAGUUAAUACCUAGAGAUAGUGGACGUUACUCGCAGAAUAAGCACCGGCUAACUCUGUGCCAGCAGCCGCGGUAAUACAGAGGGUGCGAGCGUUAAUCGGAUUUACUGGGCGUAAAGCGUGCGUAGGCGGCUUAUUAAGUCGGAUGUGAAAUCCCCGAGCUUAACUUGGGAAUUGCAUUCGAUACUGGUGAGCUAGGGUAUGGGAGAGGAUGGUAGAAUUCCAGGUGUAGCGGUGAAAUGCGUAGAGAUCUGGAGGAAUACCGAUGGCGAAGGCAGCCAUCUGGCCUAAUACUGACGCUGAGGUACGAAAGCAUGGGGAGCAAACAGGAUUAGAUACCCUGG